UGUCCCCUCAGACUUUUAACUUUGCUUUUUCUUCGAGUUAUGAACCAUCUUCCCUACCCCCAUCGCUCAUCAAAAAAUGUAUGAUUAUGUGCACCCAUUCUCGUUCAUUGAACUGAAGUAUGUAAUGGCUCCAGAAAAUGUCUGUUUCUCUUGAUUUUUAUAAUGACGAAUUAAUCACCCGAACAAAAAAAAAAAAACCUGCAAUAGAAGACCUCUCAAAGUUUUUUGUAAGAACUUCAAAACUAGACUGAAUCCAACAUUUCGACGCUAGCUCAGUGAACACCUUGUACAACAGCCGGGUUUCGAAAUGACCGGGUUUCAGCAAUUUUCUUUAUAACAUGUAUCCAUUUGUUGAAAGGUUGGGAGGGAGUCCUGUGUUCUGAAACACGAAGUCCACCGCGAGGUGCCGAUAAAAGAAGUUCUUCUGGUACCUUUUUAGGCCUAUGCGUUGUAAAUGUAUGUUUAUUAGAAUUGGGAUUUCAUUCAAACUGUGUCGAGUUCAGGCAUCCUUUAAAAGUUGUUUAAACAACAUACGUUUCUUUCCAGGUUGCUGCUUGUUUAAAGGUUUAAAUGUAAAUUCUUCAUCAAAUGUUUAAAUGUAAAUUCUAGAUCAAUCCAUAUUCAUGUUACCCUUUCCAUUUGGACACCUCUCCACCUUCCUUAUUACCUCCUGUCAAAAUUUAUCAAAUUCGAGGAAGAGUGGAAAAUAAAUAAAUACAUGAGGAACACAGUGUUCGGAUGGAAUGUUAGGCUGCAGGAGGCUGCAGUGAUAUUUAGAUGGCUUGUAGUUGUAGGUACCAAUAAAAGAGAUAAUUGGGCAAAAUGAUCCUAUCGUGAUAGGUGCCAAAUUCUUGCGGUCCGGGAGCCAGUAGGAUAAAUGUUAGAAGAAUAUACGGCCUGCAUAAGAUGCAUAAGAGGCUGAAAUUUUGAGUGAUAGCUGAGCUAUCGCAGGAAAUGUAAUUGGCUAUAUAUACAGCGGAAAUUUCCUGUGGACGUUUCCGGAAAAUCCGAAAAUUGUUCAAUUUCUACGACCCCAUCAAUGGAAAAUUAAAAAAACUAGUGCUGGAAACUCAAUAUACGGGAAAUACCCGGUGCGUAAUUGUCAAAAAUUUUCUUCGUAAGGUUCUCCUCAAAUCCGGAUGUCGUUGAAGCCAGUAGAAAGCAAACUAAUGAAAGGAGCCAAUCAGGAAUCAGGACUACCCACGAGGGACAGCGCCAUUCAGAUUGACAGGUCCUCCUCGCGUCUUGAAUAUCACUGAAAAACAAGUCAAGUAGGAGAAAUGACGCAUUGUCACAGAACGUGCAGUUACUUUGCUGAAAGGAACGCAGUUUUGCGUUCAAAAACUCCAAAACUAGUUCCAAAAAUGCUUUAUUUAGUAGUUGUUUACCGAGUUACAAUCAAUGACGUAAGAUGACAGAAAGGCCCCUGCAACGAAGCAAACCAAUUACAGAAGAGUAUCAGCCCACGUGGUACUAGGUCAAACCAGGCGCAACACAAGUUUCACUCUCGACAAACAAUUUGCAGCCCUCGAAACACUUUCGUUCAGUCAAGAGAUGCGCGAAAUUUUUCGUUCUUCGCCAGCUUCUGUCAGCGAGGUAAUAUUACUCAACUUAUUGAAUGGGACAAAGUUAAACAGGUGAGUGCCUUUGCUGUUGGAAGUCUCCCAGUGUUCACAACAUGAAAAAUUCCUGGGCGGCCUACUCUGGGGAAGAAACACGUGGUUUCAUGCCGAAGUAUAAAAUUCAAUAUUUGCGCAUGAAAAAAUGUAUUAUUUUUGACCGGUUAUGUAUAAAUUACAUAUUCUUCAGCAAAUUCCCCUAAUUUUACUUUUGUUAACAGGAUUUGCAAGAAAUGAAAAACUUUUGCCUGGUGAAUAUGUGACUUUGUGAAAAAUGUUCCCGCCAACACGCUUUGCAGUUGCCCGCAGACCGCCGUGGAAAGAAAACGCUCGCAGUUUGAGUGGAUUUGCUCGAGGGCGUGAGAAAUUUUAUCUCGGAAGACUUCGUCAAAAACGCUGCUGUCACGCACACCCGCGAAGUGGAAAGACUGGGACAGUUCCAAAGUUGAAAGUUCCCGACGAGCAAAUAGUAACUGGUUGUAUGGUCAGUUUUACCAAUACAAGAUUUCGGCUCCACCCACUAUACACAAGAUCUGACUCCGACUCGAUCAACACAUGUGGAAGUAUUGGAAUGGUUGGGAAGAACACUCUUUUCUUUCCUCCUUUCUACUGUCUACUGCUAAUUACGAUUUACCCAGACAAGAAGUUUGGAAACAAGUCAGUAAGAUUCUGAUGGAGGAUGUUGGUCAGUGAAAUUAUUUGUGGGUUGGGUGGGAAGGGUUAAAUAGAGCUCUGGUUGAACCUUGAAUCAAAUUUCGGCCAGAAGUCAAUGUACUUCUGAUUCGGCUUAAGUAACUGUAGUUAAUGUAGUUAGAUUAGUUAAUGGGGUCCCAGGUUUGGGAUGGCUCCUCCCUUUAGAUUUUUCCAUUGGGUUUCUUUUCAGGAUUUUCGGACAAGUUCUGGCUUCACUUCACACUAGUUCGGCUCAACUUUGCCUGUACUUCAACACUACAUCGGCUCCAUUUCGGCUCUACUUCAGCAUAAGUUUCACUUCAAUUCGGUUUUGCUGCAUCUCCCUGCUUAGUUGCACAAUAUACUGAAACAAUUUGAUGUGUAAAAGUUUCACUCAAUGGCAGUGAGUCUAAGCGCUGCAAUUGACUGAAACUAUGCCGACCAAAACCAUUUCUCAAAACUGUUAUGGAAAACCAUUUUGGCACUAAAGGUUCAACCAGAUAUUUACUUAAAUGUAGGUUACUGUAGCUGUUAUCUCCAGUUGUAGCCAUUAAGGCUUGGGUAAAUGAGCAGUUAGAAGGGAUUAUGCAUACACCUCGGCUAGGAUCGUUCACAAAAACACCUAGGCCAAUUGUCUGUCAUAUUUUGGCAGUUUGAUGGCUGCCAGUCAAAAUUUUGGGCCAUUAUCGCUGGUUAAAUUUUAAUGCUUUAAGUCAAUUGUCUUCUUGCCAUGGCAGUCAUCUGUCAGCUAAAUUUUCAGAAAGUCAUUAAUUUUUCCAGAGUGUAUUGUAAGCUCUCAGUUUCAAUGCUGGCCCACAUGUUAGUUUUCAGUGCAAACUCUUAGGCCAAUUGUCUGUCAUGACAGUUUGUCAGCUGUCGCCAAAUUUUUGAUAUAUAAUCUACAUGCUGACGAGCUUGGAGAGGAGUUCCUGUGUCUACAAGCCAUCGACCCACACAAAGAAGGGAAUGGUGAACACCAUGGCAUAAGGUACGUGGAACCUAGAUAGCACACUGUGUUGUAUUACACGGGAAUGCACCAUUCGCUGAUCUAAUCUAAGCUUUUGCCAAUUCCACCACAAGUGAAAUGCUUAGUAAACAUCAUCUGAACUAUUUUUUUUUUUACCAAAUCACUAUCCAGACAAUAUCAACAAUAUUUGGGAUUCACGGCUUAGAUUGGAAAGAGUGGCGUAUUCAAGUGUAGAACAACAGAUCUCGAUUUUCGGCUUUUGAUUCGGCUUUUGGUUCGGCUUUCAGUUCGGCUUUUGGUUCGGCUUUCGGUUCAGGACACAAUUGGCUCAAAUUUGUUGCACAAAGGCUUGGUUGCGACUGUCAAUCGUUAGCAGGCCACUUAAUAUGCUCAUGUAUCAUCUGGGACACCCUGAGUGUUCCAAUCAGAGUGCUAAAUGGCACAGGAACACUUGAGGUUUCUGCGGAUGCUAAAUUUUUCAAAUAGGAACGCGCCCCCUCCCUGAUACAUACUUAGGUCCUGUGGAUUAAUUUAGAAAUGAUGUAACGGAUACUUGAUAACAAUAAAACAAGAAAAGCCUGUGUCUCUUCGUCAUUUACUUUAAAUUUAGUUUUAACUUUAAAUUACUGUGUGUUUGUGUUAACUACUUCCAGACAAUAGAAAAUUUACAUAUUCAAGUUUAUUAUUUUUUCUAUACUUCUGACCGAGCCUAUUUUCGGGGGCAUACCAAACAGUCAAAAACAAGAAUGCGCGAUCUUGUAUACAAUUAUAUGUAGGUCCUGUGGAUUACUGUAGAAAUGAUGGAAUAAUGGCACACCUGGAAACAAUAAAACCCAAAAAACCUGUUGUCUGUGUCACUUUCUUUAAUGUUAACACAACAAUGCUGUUAAAUUGCUAACAAUUUUUAUUUCAGGAUCUUCACCUCAACAAGGUCUAUUUUUGAUACUUAAAUUUGUAUGAUCGGUGGUAUAACAAAUUUGGCCAAUUAAAGAGAAAAUCAAACUGUCAUAUUGUCAGCAGACCAGUCCAUUUUCGGGGACUAGCUCAUUUUCGGGAGCAUUGUCACAACAUUUUGUUUUUUGCAAACGCUUAAUUCUGAAACAAUGAUGCAGUUACUAACUGAAACUUUCAAUGCAGUUUUUGCAGGUAUGAAAAGCUAACCUAAGAAGAGACAGAGAGAGGAAAAGAGGUCUACAAACAACAUGCCCUUCUUCAAACAUGGUAGGUCCAAUACUUCAAACAGUUUGGCAACACAGUAGCAUUUCUGUUUUAGUUUUCAGACCACCAACUUCAUGUCAGUCAAAUCCAGGCAUGAAGAAAUAGAUACUCUGAUAUAUAAUCGGAAAGAGGUAAAUAAUCUACCUCAUCAUUCUAACUUUACAAUACUGAUAGGAGUCCUGGUGACAAGAAUUUGCAUAAUAUUUUGACUGUUGAGAAAUCAAGGAAAGUCAUAUCAUUUUGCAGCAGUGAAUAAAUGAAGCAGGCAUGGUUGAUUUGUUUCUGAAAACAUAAAAGGCGUGUGCAUAAUUUUUUCUUUUGACCAAGUAAGUGUAGGACAACAAAACAAUAGGCAUCUUAUCUAUGAGGAGCUUAAAAGAUGCAAAAAUAAGGGUGUUUGUGGAGAAGUGAGAAUUAUACACAAUAAUUGUAAAAAUAGUAGAUUGUCUGUUGUAGGAAUCAACUUGAAUACAUUCACAUAAAUUUUUCGAGUAUACAACUGAUGCAAUUGAGAUGAGCAAAUUGUCUGCUAUGGAGAGAAAGUCACAAAGGAAAACAAUUAAGCAGAGUACAGAAAAUACAAAUACGAUUGUCUGUUGAGAAAGUAAAAUAAGACACCAUUUUUCAACUGCAUGCACUUAACAUUUACAAAUUAAUAAAAGUGUUUUAUAGUACGUAGCUCUCAUUAACAUUGAAUGCCACUCAAAAACAGCUUGUUAGUUUUGCAGGUUACAGUGAACCUCUACAAGCCAUGCUGGUACACACCACAGAAGCUCACACCAUCCUAAUCACCGGUGCAAUGUGACAGGACAUUAUACAACCUUCAACAAAGCCUUCCCACAAAAGCCAGAGAGUGCCAUGGCCUUUCUGAAUAUGUCCAGCAUUUAAUACCUACUCAAAGACCUCUUGGACCUCUUAGAUUUCACAAUGAGAUGGGCAGGAUUUACUAUGGGGCAAGCUAGGUGCAUCCCUGUUUCCUCAGCUAUCACAGAUGAAUUUGAAGUACAGGCAAUAUCUUCUGCAACCCGCAAAUCUAAGAUGUAAAUGGCAUUGGAAGGAAGCACCACAUAGAUGAUACUUUCAACAUCCAUUCUUCAGGGAGAACAUUUACGUGCAUCACCUUAUCUCCUCCCAGCCCAAAAUAUCUAUCUGUGGUACCAACCAAUAUUAUGGGUAUAAAACCAAGCAGGGAAAAAUCUGUGCUAAUGUGCCUGGUUUCACCUUGAAUGAAUGUUGUUUUUCUCAAGUACAAAGUUAUGAAAUGCUUUGUUCACCAGAGACCUAUGUCCUGGAGGUGGUUGAAGGUUCCUGUGAGGGGAAGCUUACCUCUUUGGAGGGUGCUGCUGUCAUGUGAGUUAUGAAAAAUGCUCUGAUUCACAUUCAAUAAACCCCGCAUCAGUGCAAGUCUAAGCAGCUUGGCAAGGUUAUACAUGUUGUCCAAGUCAACCAGGCUAUGCCAUUUCUCAUAAGCCCCGUCAGAAUUUGCACUAUUUGCUUUAGAACAGCUUAUGUUUAAUAUUUUAGACUCUCACUGGUACACCUGCAGAGCAGCAAGACUUCACCCUAAAAGCAUUAACUGGCAUAAUGGAAUCAAAAUCUCUGAAACUUUGCUGCCAGGGCAAUAGAAGACCAGUACAUUCAUGGACCAUUGAGGAAAGAAGCCAGAACAGUUAAGGUCAAAGCUGGAUGUGAAGCAUUGCCUGAUGAAGACUAACAGUUAGCAGUUGUAGCAUCUCACUUGACAACAUCACAAGACAAAGGAUUACCCUUCAGUACCAACUUGAACACAAUGACAAAUACCCAUCUUAUCAAGAAAAACAGUGAUUAGUCACUAAUCAAACAGUCGUGUUGAGCAGUGUCUUUAUGGUGCUGAAAAGCAAAGAGAAUCGCGAGUCUAAUAGCGUGUGGAGCACAUCUUGCUUGAAUAAAGCUUAUCAAAAAUUUCUCCUUUUCUUCCUGUAUUUUCCAGUGCACAAUUCCAUGUGGAGGCAAGUAGAGUUGUGGAACUCUGUGUGGUAUCAGUUGGCCUUUGUGGUUUGUUUCAACUUGAAGCACAGAAGCUCUUUUAUGCUUUUCUCCAUGCCUAAAUAAACUUGCUUAUAUGAUCCAAAACAUCUGCUCUUGAAAAGUCUAUCUGUAUGAAAGAACUAUGGAUCACCUCUCAGACAGAACAAGCUUCUCUCUCAGCUCUGUAAGUCCUAAGAUACAGCUUUGCUUCUCGCUGAGUUUCAGUAUUAGAUUGCGUUCAGGCAAUACCUUCAAACAACUCUGCAUAUCUGAGUUUUAGUGUCUUCAGAGAAUUUAAUUGUUGAACAUCAAGUCAUGUUGUUUGGUGUAUUAUUGUUGUAUUGGCAUUAUCGGACAAUCUAGUCCAUAAUUUCAGCGCGUGUUAGUAAUUGUACAUUUCCUUAAACAUUUUCUGAGAUGGCUUUGGAGUCUGAUUCGUGAUCGGCAGGUGCGGUGACAAGAACCACAGACAUAAGUGGAAUCAGUGGGUGGAGCAAGGGCCCCGGCCUUCUG